rnacentral:rRNA from 1 species
GAUGAACGCUGGCGGCGUGCCUAAUACAUGCAAGUCGAGCGAACGGACGAGAAGCUUGCUUCUCUGAUGUUAGCGGCGGACGGGUGAGUAACACGUGGAUAACCUACCUAUAAGACUGGGAUAACUUCGGGAAACCGGAGCUAAUACCGGAUAAUAUUUUGAACCGUAUGGUUCAUAAGUGAAAGACGGUCUUGCUGUCACUUAUAGAUGGAUCCGCGCUGCAUUAGCUAGUUGGUAAGGUAACGGCUUACCAAGGCAACGAUGCAUAGCCGACCUGAGAGGGUGAUCGGCCACACUGGAACUGAGACACGGUCCAGACUCCUACGGGAGGCCGCAGUAGGGAAUCUUCCGCAAUGGGCGAAAGCCUGACGGAGCAACGCCGCGUGAGUGAUGAAGGUCUUCGGAUCGUAAAACUCUGUUAUUAGGGAAGAACAUAUGUGUAAGUAACUGUGCACAUCUUGACGGUACCUAAUCAGAAAGCCACGGCUAACUACGUG